AAGUCGUAACAAGGUUUCCGUAGGUGAACCUGCGGAAGGAUCAUUAAAGAGACGUUGCCCUUCGGGGUAUACCUCCCACCCAUUGUUUAUUAUACCUUUGUUGCUUUGGCAGACCCGGCUUCGGCCCACCGGCUCCGGCUGGUCAGUGUCUGCCAAAGGACCUAAAACUCUGUUUGUUAAUAUUGUCUGAGUACUAUAUAAUAGUUAAAACUUUCAACAACGGAUCUCUUGGUUCUG
rnacentral:misc_RNA from 1 species